rnacentral:rRNA from 1 species
AGUGAACGCUGGCGGUAGGCCUAACACAUGCAAGUCGAACGGCAGCACAGUAAGAGCUUGCUCUUACGGGUGGCGAGUGGCGGACGGGUGAGGAAUACAUCGGAAUCUACUUUUUCGUGGGGGAUAACGUAGGGAAACUUACGCUAAUACCGCAUACGACCUACGGGUGAAAGCAGGGGAUCUUCGGACCUUGCGCGAUUGAAUGAGCCGAUGUCGGAUUAGCUAGUUGGCGGGGUAAAGGCCCACCAAGGCGACGAUCCGUAUCUGGUCUGAGAGGAUGAACAGCCACACUGGAACUGAGACACGGUCCAGACUCCUACUGGAGGCAGCAGUGGGGAAUAUUGGACAAUGGGCGCAAGCCUGUUCCAGCCAUACCGCGUGGGUGAAGAAGGCCUUCGGGUUGUAAAGCCCUUUUGUUGGGAAAGAAAAACAGCAGGUUAAUACCCCGCUGUUCUGACGGUACCCAAAGAAUAAGCACGGGCUAACUUCGUG